rnacentral:rRNA from 1 species
UACAGAGGGUGCGAACGUUGUUCGGAAUUACUGGGCGUAAAGCGCGUGUAGGCUGUCACGCAAGUCGGGUGUGAAAGCCCGGGGCUCAACCCCGGAAGUGCACUCGAAACUGCAUGACUUGAGUCUCGGAGAGGGCGGCGGAAUUCUGGGUGUAGAGGUGAAAUUCGUAGAUAUCCAGAGGAACACCGGUGGCGAAGGCGGCCGCCUGGACGAGAACUGACGCUGAGACGCGAAAGCGUGGGGAGCAAACAGG